UUUGACAGCACAUAUACUAAAUAUACUAAAACUGGAACAAUACAGAGAAGACUAGGUUGCCCCUGUGAAAAGAUGAUAUGCAAAUAAAUAUGUGAAGCAUUCUAUAUUC